rnacentral:lncRNA from 1 species
GUGCUGUUUUCUUUAUGGUUUAAUAACAUAUCUUUUAAAAUCAAGAAAAUUAUAAUACCGUAAUUAAAAAAUUAUUUGUCAUAUAAAUGUUGAAUUUAUAUAUUUCAUUAUUAUUGACACAAAAAUAGAACUUUUUAUACAGUUGAUUACUCCCUUGGGCAAGAUCUGUGAAUGAAAGUUAGAUACUGUAUAUAUUUAUACCAUCCGUGGGCAUGCCAUUUCUGCUUCCUGGUCUACCAUCUUGAUUUUUCUCUUUUUGUAUCAGACAACAGUUUCUUUUUCAAACUCAAUAAUACUGCAUUUUAUAAAUAUGUAUAUGGUUUGAAAUGCUGUAUUUAUGAGUGUUUUUAUUUAUUACAAUUAAUGUUCACAUUUUCAAUUUGGUUGAUAUUUGAAAAAAGU